rnacentral:rRNA from 1 species
UUCUUCGAUUGGUACACUAUAGAUUGCGAAUGAUUUAGUAUAACAGUUUUUAUAUAUUUGAAAAUUUUUUUCUGUGGAUAACUGCGGGAAUUUUUCAGCUAAUACAUAGUUCUAUGAAUAAAUAUAUAUUUGAUAUGUAUAUGGCUGUUAUUUUUUGUUAAAUUAAAAUUUAUACAUAUUGUUGAGGAUUUUUAAUUAUUAUUUAGAGAUUGCUGUACAAGUGGCAAUUCAUUUAAGUUUCUGACCUAUCAGUUAAUUAGUUGUGUCUUGCUCAAUUGAGGCAUUAACGGGUAACAGAGAAUUAGGGUUCUGUUCCGGAGAGGGAGUCUGAGAAAUAACUGCCACAUCUAAGGAAGGCAGCAGGCGCGAAAAUUACCCAAUUUUGAUGAAUAGAGGUAGUGACAAGAAAUCACAAUAUUAUGACAUAUGUCUAAAUAAUUGUAUUGAAAAAAAUAUAGAAAUUUUAUCUAUAAGCUAGUGGAGGGCAAGUCUGGUGCCAGCAGCCGCGGUAAUUCCAGCUCUAAUAGUUUAUACUAAGAAUGUUGCAAUUAAAAAGCUCAUAGUCGAAUUUUUAAAAUAUUCAAUCUUAUGUGGUCCUAAUAGAUUAUAAAGAAGUCGAAUUAUUUUAAAUUAUAUAUGAUUAUUCUGUUGGUAUUAAUUUUCUGAUAGUGAUUUAAGUUUGUUUCACUUUGGAAAAAUGAGAGUGUUUUAGGCAGUCGUUCGUUAUUAUUCUAAAGUAUGGAAUGAUAAGUAAUGAUGUUGGCUUAAUUUGAUUGGUUUGAGAGGUUGAUGUAAUGGUUUAUACAGUGAUUCGGAGGUAGACGUAUUUUGUCGUUAGAAGUGAAAUUCUUAGAUUGAGAGAAGACAAACAAUAGCAAAAGCAUUCAUCUAGGAUCUACUCCUUAGUCAAGAACGUAAGUUGUGGGAUCGAAGACGAUCAGAUACCGUCGUAGUCUCAACUAUAAACAAUAUCAAUUUGGGAUUAGCGAAUGUUUAUAAAACAUUGUUAGAACCUAAAGAGAAAUCAAAGUGUUUGGAUUCCGGGGGGAGUAUGGUUGCAAGGCUGAAACUUAAAGGAAUUGACGGAAGGGCACCACAAGAUGUGUAUUCUGUGGCUUAAUUUGACUCAACACAGGAAAACUUACCAGGUCUGGACAUUGGAAUUAUUGACGGAUUUAUAUCUCUUUCUUAAUUUUGUGGGUUGUGGUGCAUGGCCGUUCCUAGUUGGUGAAGUGAUUUGUCUGGUUAAUUCCGUUAACGAAUGAGACUAUUAACUGAUAAUUCGCGUAUUAAUUAAUUUAAUAUUUUUGCUUCUUUAAGAAACUAGAUUUGCAUAAAAAGCUGGAAGU